AUCGGUUGUCAUGCCAAUGGCACGGCCGAGCAGCUAUGUGCGGAUCGGAUAAACGCUGAAAGCAUCUAAGCGUGAAGCCGUCUCCAAGAUAAGAUAUCCCACUGUUUACAGUUAAGACCCCUUGUAGACUACGAGGUUGAUAGGUUGGAUGUGUAAGUACAGUGAUGUAUUUAGCUAGCCAAUACUAAUAGGUCGAGGGCUUGACCUU
rnacentral:ncRNA from 1 species